CCUACGGGUGGCAGCAGUGGGGAAUAUUGGACAAUGGGGGGAACCCUGAUCCAGCGACGCCGCGUGAGUGAAGAAGUAUUUCGGUAUGUAAAGCUCUAUCAGCAGGGAAGAAAAUGACGGUACCUGACUAAGAAGCCCCGGCUAACUACGUGCCAGCAGCCGCGGGUACACGUAGGGGGCAAGCGUUAUCCGGGUGUACUGGGUGUAAAGGGAGCGUAGACGGUGUAGCAAGUUUGAUGGGAAAGGUAGGGGCCCAACCCCGGGAAUGCAUUGGAAACUGUUGAACUGGAGUACAGGAGAGGUAAGCGGAAUGCCUAGUGUAGCGGUGAAAUGCGUAGAUAUUAGGCGGAACACCAGUGGCGAAGGCGGCUUACUGGACUGUAACUGACGUUGAGGCUCGAAAGCGUGGGGAGCAAACAGGAUUAGAUACCCUAGUAGUC
rnacentral:rRNA from 1 species